rnacentral:rRNA from 1 species
CUAUAGAGAUAUAGUGGAGGUUAUCAUGGAGACAGGUGGUGCAUGGUUGUCGUCAGCUCGUGUCGUGAGAUGUUGGGUUAAGUCCCGCAACGAGCGCAACCCUUAUUGCUAGUUACCAUCAUUAAGUUGGGGACUCUAGCGAGACUGCCAGUGAUAAACUGGAGGAAGGUGGGGAUGACGUCAAAUCAUCAUGCCCCUUAUGACCUGGGCUACAAACGUGAUACAAUGGCUGAAACAAAGGGCAGCGAAGGAGCGAUCUGGAGCGAAACCCAAAAAAGCAGUCUCAGUUCGGAUUGAAGUCUGCAACUCGACUUCAUGAAGUCGGAAUCGCUAGUAAUCGCGGAUCAGAACGCCGCGGUGAAUACGUUCUCGGGGUUU